rfam:Schistosoma mansoni, Puerto Rico, WGS project CABG01000000 data, contig: 0097
AUUCAGCUGACGAAUCCCAACUAAGAUGAAAUGCGCAUCAAACUGGAU